rnacentral:snRNA from 1 species
AACUUGCACAGAAUCUCAGU